ACACUCCUGAAGGGCCAGUACACUUCAUCCAGAAAGCCAGCAGUGACAGCUUCUUGUGGAACUCUGGAAUUGCUGGGGAAGACAGAAUGAAUGAUGAAACAAAGCCGUGCUGGAAGCAUCAGCUUUGAGAAAAGAAGCACAAAAUACCAGGGGAACACCACAAAUGGUCUGCACAAGUUUGGUCUCUGUCCUAGCACUACACUUUUUGGCUUCAAGAAAGAAAGGUGGAAUAAGAAUUUGGGUCUUCAGAGGUGGAAGUAUCCCCACCCCAUAACACCAAUGACAUCUGUCCAUCUUCUGCACAUCAGGCUGGAUAAGAAGUCCUUUCUCUUCUCACCUGCAUAUUUCAGCACUGAGGACAGAUGUAGGUGACACCUGCCUUGACUGCCGCACCUCCUGGUGACCCUGAGCCAGCCCUUGCUACAGUGGCAUCUCCUGCACUGCUGGGCUUGGUAGUGCAGCUUCUUCAAGCAAACGGAACACCAACAUGUGGGCCAUUUUCUCUGCUCAUCUAAUAUGGCCAAGAGAGGUUUCUUCAGCCACAGCUGGAUUCCAGCUCAACCCUUCUGCAAGAGGAGCCC